GACGGAGGGUGCUAGCGUUGUUCGGAAUUACUGGGCGUAAAGCGCACGUAGGUGGCGACGUAAGUCGGGUGUGAAAGCCCCGGGCUCAACCUGGGAAUUGCAUUCGAGACUGUGUUGCUGGAGUACGGGAGAGGAGGGCGGAAUUCCCGGUGUAGCGGUGAAAUGCGUAGAUAUCGGGAGGAACAUCAGUGGCGAAGGCGGCCCUCUGGUCCAGUACUGACACUCAAGUGCGAAAGCGUGGGGAGCAAACAGG
rnacentral:rRNA from 1 species